UACGAAGGGGGCUAGCGUUGCUCGGAAUCACUGGGCGUAAAGGGUGCGUAGGCGGGUCUUUAAGUCAGGGGUGAAAUCCUGGAGCUCAACUCCAGAACUGCCUUUGAUACUGAGGAUCUUGAGUACGGGAGAGGUGAGUGGAACUGCGAGUGUAGAGGUGAAAUCCGUAGAUAUUCGCAAGAACACCAGUGGCGAAGGCGGCUCACUGGCCCGUAACUGACGCUGACACGCGAAAGCUAGGGGAGCGAACGGG
rnacentral:rRNA from 1 species